GAUACUCCUCUGACUCAAGACAUCAGAAGUCUUGCAUGUGGAAUGCUGGAAAGCGUUCUUCAGAAAAUAUCUCACAUUCUGACUAUUGUAGCUGAUGUUACAGGAGGAGUCACCAAAAUCAUUGAAGGGCUGUAGAAUGGUCAAAGAGAAAAUAAGUCCAACUGUGA